UGCUGGCAGCCAAGGGGGAAGGAGCUCUGCCUGAACAAGCAAAGGGGCUAGGCCUGACUGCAUGAGCAGCUCCUGAUAUUGCUUCGUGCAGCUGUGUACAGGCACCAGAGAUAACUAGCCAAUUGCCCACUUUCUCUGGAAGAAUGAGAAGGCUUCUACUGUUGCCCUGUCCUGCUUGAGCUUCAUCCAGAUCACCCACUUACCUCAGGGGUUUGGUUUCCAAACCCUGACAAACCUAGCUCAAAGCCUGCCACAAGAGGAAACAGAGAGCCAUGCUACCCAGGGCACUGAAUCGCAGCGAACUGAUGUGGGGUUAUGGGCUAAGGCUGACUGAGCCCAGCAUCCAACAUGCUCUGCCAAUCUGCUUCAGUUCUGAUUGGCAACAAGCUGUGUGAUAAUUUCUUAGAAUCAGCCAGAAGUGGCUAUGAAACCAAGCUCAUCUUACUAACUCAUAUAAACAAUAAUUUAAAUUCGAACUACAAAAGUGAAGGUGAAACUGGAUCACUAGGGUCUAUUACUGGCCUUUCCUGCUUUGAAAACCUUGGGAGUGGGGGAGGGAACAUGCUUUUUAAAGUGGCCUUAAGCACCUUAAGUUCCUAACAGCAGUAUUUGCUGAGCAAAUCACUUUAGGUCUCACUGACCUUGGCUAGUAGGACUUCCUGGGUCACAUUUUCACAUGGAUAAGCUAUUUCUCGAGCAGUUUCUUCAAUUUACUGGACAUAAAUAGGCUUUCCUUUAACAGCAGACAGGUACUGUACAUGUUUUUUGUGCCACUAGUUAUUCCUCAACCAGUAUAUUUGGAAGAAAAUGUCACCUUCCAUUAAUUUUAUAGUUGCUAUGUAUUUCUUUUACAGUAUCUCAAGGUUGCAUUGAAACACAGGAUUUUGUUUCCUUUCAAUAUAGUGAUAAAAAAGCAA